rnacentral:rRNA from 1 species
AACGAACGCUGGCGGCAUGCCUAACACAUGCAAGUCGAACGAUCCCUUCGGGGUUAGUGGCGCACGGGUGCGUAACGCGUGGGAACCUGCCCUUUGGUUCGGAAUAACUCAGAGAAAUUUGAGCUAAUACCGGAUAAUCUCUUCGGACCAAAGAUUUAUCGCCUUUGGAUGGGCCCGCGUUGGAUUAGCUAGUUGGUGGGGUAAAGGCCUACCAAGGCGACGAUCCGUAGCUGGUCUGAGAGGAUGACCAGCCACACUGGGACUGAGACACGGCCCAGACUCCUACGGGAGGCAGCAGUGGGGAAUAUUGGGCAAUGGGCGAAAGCCUGACGCAGCAAUGCCGCGUGAAUGAUGAAGGUCUUAGGGUUGUAAAGCUCUUUUACCCGGGAUGAUAAUGACAGUACCGGGAGAAGAAGCCCCGGCUAACUCCGUG